rnacentral:rRNA from 1 species
CGGAGGGUGCGAGCGUUAUCCGGAAUUACUGGGUUUAAAGGGUGCGUAGGCGGCCAUGUAAGUCAGGAGUGAAAGUUUGCGGCUCAACCGUAAAUUGCUUUUGAUACUGCAUGGCUGGAAUCAGGAUGAGGUCAGCGGAAUGUGGCAUGUAGCGGUGAAAUGCAUAGAUAUGCCAUAGAACACCAAUUGCGAAGGCAGCUGGCUAGACCUGUAUUGACGCUGAGGCACGAAAGCGUGGGGAGCGAACAGGAUUAGAUACCCUGGUAGUCCACGCCCUAAACGAUGCUUACUCGACGUAUGAAGCUGGUCUUUGUGCGUCCAAGGGAAACCGUUAAGUAAGCCACCUGGGGAGUACGACCGCAAGGUUG